AUUGAACGCUGGCGGCAGGCUUAACACAUGCAAGUCGAGCGGGGUGAUGGUGCUUGCACUAUCACUUAGCGGCGGACGGGUGAGUAAUGCUUAGGAAUCUGCCUAUUAGUGGGGGACAACAUCCCGAAAGGGAUGCUAAUACCGCAUACGUCCUAAGGGAGAAAGCAGGGGAUCACUUGUGACCUUGCGCUAAUAGAUGAGCUUAAGUCGGAUUAGCUAGUUGGUGGGGUAAAGGCCUACCAAGGCGACGAUCUGUAGCGGGUCUGAGAGGAUGAUCCGCCACACUGGGACUGAGACACGGCCCAGACUCCUACGGGAGGCAGCAGUGGGGAAUAUUGGACAAUGGGGGGAACCCUGAUCCAGCCAUGCCGCGUGUGUGAAGAAGGCCUUAUGGUUGUAAAGCACUUUAAGCGAGGAGGAGGCUCUUUUGGUUAAUACCCAAGAUGAGUGGACGUUACUCGCAGAAUAAGCACCGGCUAACUCUGUGCCAGCAGCCGCAGUAAAAC
rnacentral:rRNA from 1 species